rnacentral:rRNA from 1 species
GCACAAGCGGUGGAUGAUGUGGUUUAAUUCGAUGCAACGCGAAAACCUUACCCACCUUUGACAUGUACGGAAUCCUUUAGAGAUAGAGGAGUGCUCGAAAGAGAACCGUAACACAGGUGCUGCAUGGCUGUCGUCAGCUCGUGUCGUGAGAUGUUGGGCUAAGUCCCGCAACGAGCGCAACCCUUGUCAUUAGUUGCUACAUUCAGUUGGGCACUCUAAUGAGACUGCCGGUGACAAACCGGAGGAAGGUGGGGAUGACGUCAAGUCCUCAUGGCCCUUAUAGGUGGGGCUACACACGUCAUACAAUGGAUGGUACAAAGGGUCGCCAACCCGCGAGGGGGAGCCAAUCCCAUAAAGCCAUUCGUAGUCCGGAUCGCAGUCUGCAACUCGACUGCGUGAAGUCGGAAUCGCUAGUAAUCGUGGAUCAGAAUGUCACGGUGAAUACGUUCCCGGGUCUU